rnacentral:rRNA from 1 species
ACGGAGGGUCCAAGCGUUAUCCGGAUUUAUUGGGUUUAAAGGGUCCGUAGGCGGGGUUUUAAGUCAGUGGUGAAAGCCUACAGCUCAACUGUAGAACUGCCAUUGAAACUGGAACUCUUGAAUGUGAUUGAGGUAGGCGGAAUAUGUCAUGUAGCGGUGAAAUGCUUAGAUAUGACAUAGAACACCGAUAGCGAAGGCAGCUUACCAAGUCAUGAUUGACGCUGAUGGACGAAAGCGUGGGGAGCGAACAGG